AAGCUGAACCUUCAAUUUCAUAACUAAUCAAACCUUACUUACAAUUGUUAACAUCAAAUUGUGAAUUUUUCAAUCAGUUUCAACUUCACCAAAAACAAACUUCUAAAAGAUGAAUCCUGGAAAUCGCGUUAACCAGUGCAACCCAAACAACUUUGAAACCGGGCCUGGACGCAAUGCAGCUUAUUCUGGCAAGGGGGAUAAACCAGAUAAAGAUAACCACGCUAAUCAGUUGAACCCAAACAACUCUCAAUUUGGUGGUGGUAACACUAAAAAGUGACCAGCAAUUGCUAUCAAGAUCAAUCAAAGGCUAAUCUUUAAUCAAUAUUGGUUAACCUGUAUCUUCGAUAAAAUAUGAAAUCAUUAAAAUAAGUUUUUAAAUUCAAUAAA